rnacentral:rRNA from 2 species
AAACUGAAGAGUUUGAUCAUGGCUCAGAUUGAACGCUGGCGGCAGGCUUAACACAUGCAAGUCGAGCGGAAACGAUGAUAGCUUGCUAUCAGGCGUCGAGCGGCGGACGGGUGAGUAAUACUUAGGAAUCUACCUAGUAGUGGGGGAUAGCACGGGGAAACUCGUAUUAAUACCGCAUACGACCUACGGGAGAAAGGGGGCAGUUUACUGCUCUCGCUAUUAGAUGAGCCUAAGUCGGAUUAGCUAGAUGGUGGGGUAAAGGCCUACCAUGGCGACGAUCUGUAGCUGGUCUGAGAGGAUGAUCAGCCACACCGGGACUGAGACACGGCCCGGACUCCUACGGGAGGCAGCAGUGGGGAAUAUUGGACAAUGGGGGAAACCCUGAUCCAGCCAUGCCGCGUGUGUGAAGAAGGCCUUUUGGUUGUAAAGCACUUUAAGCAGUGAAGAAGACUCCGUGGUUAAUACCCACGGACGAUGACAUUAGCUGCAGAAUAAGCACCGGCUAACUCUGUGCCAGCAGCCGCGGUAAUACAGAGGGUGCAAGCGUUAAUCGGAAUUACUGGGCGUAAAGGGAGCGUAGGUGGCUCUAUAAGUCAGAUGUGAAAUCCCCGGGCUCAACCUGGGAACUGCAUCUGAAACUGUAGAGCUAGAGUAUGUGAGAGGAAGGUAGAAUUCCAGGUGUAGCGGUGAAAUGCGUAGAGAUCUGGAGGAAUACCGAUGGCGAAGGCAGCCUUCUGGCAUAAUACUGACACUGAGGCUCGAAAGCGUGGGUAGCAAACAGGAUUAGAUACCCUGGUAGUCCACGCCGUAAACGAUGUCUACUAGUCGUUGGGUCCCUUGAGGACUUAGUGACGCAGCUAACGCAAUAAGUAGACCGCCUGGGGAGUACGGCCGCAAGGUUAAAACUCAAAUGAAUUGACGGGGGCCCGCACAAGCGGUGGAGCAUGUGGUUUAAUUCGAUGCAACGCGAAGAACCUUACCUGGUCUUGACAUAUCUAGAAUCCUGCAGAGAUGCGGGAGUGCCUUCGGGAAUUAGAAUACAGGUGCUGCAUGGCUGUCGUCAGCUCGUGUCGUGAGAUGUUGGGUUAAGUCCCGCAACGAGCGCAACCCUUGUCCUUAGUUACCAGCGGGUUAAGCCGGGAACUCUAAGGAUACUGCCAGUGACAAACUGGAGGAAGGCGGGGACGACGUCAAGUCAUCAUGGCCCUUACGACCAGGGCUACACACGUGCUACAAUGGUAGGUACAGAGGGCAGCUACACAGCGAUGUGAUGCGAAUCUCAAAAAGCCUAUCGUAGUCCAGAUUGGAGUCUGCAACUCGACUCCAUGAAGUAGGAAUCGCUAGUAAUCGCGGAUCAGAAUGCCGCGGUGAAUACGUUCCCGGGCCUUGUACACACCGCCCGUCACACCAUGGGAGUUGAUUGCACCAGAAGUGGAUAGCUUAACCUUCGGGGAGGCGUUCACCACGGUGUGGUUGAUGACUGGGGUGAAGUCGUAACAAGGUAGCCGUAGGGGAACCUGCGGCUGGAUCACCUCCUUA